GAGGGUAUAGCUCAGUGGUAGAGUGUGUGCUUAGCAUGCACGAGGCCCUGGGUUCAAUCCCCUGAACCUCCA
rnacentral:tRNA from 1 species